rnacentral:rRNA from 2 species
AUCUAGGCUCUUGCAUCGAUGAAGAACGUAGCGAAAUGCGAUACUUGGUGUGAAUUGCAGAAUCCCGUGAACCAUCGAGUCUUUGAACGCAAGUUGCGCCCGAUGCCAUUAGGUUGAGGGCACGUCUGCCUGGGUGUCACAUAUCGAAGCCUCCUGCCAAAUUC